rnacentral:rRNA from 1 species
GACGAACGCUGGCGGCGUGCCUAAUACAUGCCAGUUGAGCGCUGAAGGUUGGUACUUGUACCAACUGGAUGAGCAGCGAACGGGUGAGUAACGCGUGGGGAAUCUGCCUUUGAGCGGGGGACAACAUUUGGAAACGAAUGCUAAUACCGCAUAAAAACUUUAAACACAAGUUUUAAGUUUGAAAGAUGCAAUUGCAUCACUCAAAGAUGAUCCCGCGUUGUAUUAGCUAGUUGGUGAGGUAAAGGCUCACCAAGGCGAUGAUACAUAGCCGACCUGAGAGGGUGAUCGGCCACAUUGGGACUGAGACACGGCCCAAACUCCUACGGGAGGAAGCAGUAGGGAAGCUUCGGCAAUGGACGAAAGUCUGACCGAGCAACGCCGCGGGAGUGAAGAAGGGUUUCGGAUCGUAAAACUCUGUUGGUAGAGAAGAACGUUGGUGAGAGUGGAAAGCUCAUCAAGUGACGGUAACUACCCAGAAAGGGACGGCUAACUACGUG